UAGCGAGGAUUCCCCUAGUAACGGCGAGUGAAGCGGGAAGAGCUCAAAUUUGUAAUCUCGGCGGCCUCAGGCCGUCCGAGUUGUAGUCUGGAGAAGCGUCUUCCGCGUCGGACCGUGUACAAGUCCCUUGGAACAGGGCGUCGUAGAGGGUGAGAAUCCCGUCUUUGACACGGACUACCGUCGCUUUGUGAUGCGCUCUCGAAGAGUCGAGUUGUUUGGGAAUGCAGCUCAAAAUGGGUGGUAAAUUCCAUCUAAAGCUAAAUAUUGGCGAAAGACCGAUAGCGAACAAGUACCGUGAGGGAAAGAUGAAAAGCACUUUGGAAAGAGAGUUAAACAGUACGUGAAAUUGUUGAAAGGGAAACGAUUGAAGUCAGUCGCGUCUCUCGAGAUUCAGCCUUGCCUUUCCGGCUCGGUGCAUUUCUCGAGCUCGACGGGCCAGCAUCAAUUUCGCUCGUCAGACAAGGGCGGAGGGAAUGUGGCACCGCUUCGGUGUGUUAUAGCCCUCCGUCGCAUGUGACGGCCGGGAUUGAGGAUCGCAGCACGCCUUCAUGGCCGGGGUUCGCCCACGUAACGUGCUUAGGAUGCUGGCGUAAUGGCUUUAAACGACCCGUCUUGA
rnacentral:rRNA from 1 species